CAGAGUGUAGUUUAUUAAAAAUUUUAAUUUUGGAAAUUAAAGAUAGAAGAAUUUCUUUCUCUGA
rnacentral:tRNA from 1 species